GAUUCUUUAAAGUGUGACGAGGUUAGUAGGAUACUUCCAGACGCGCAGAAUAAUAUAUCCUUCUCGUAAGUUUGUUUUCAUAAUUCAAUUUGCUACUUUUUAAUCGUCAAAUGUAUUUAUGUACUGAAAGGAGAUUAUUAUGUACUUCAAUCAUAUCAAAGUGCGUCAUCGUUUAAAAAAUGGAAUAAAGCGUAAUCCCUCAUCAAACGGUACAAUUAUUUCAAAUGGAAUUUUGCCUCUCACAAAUGGGAAUGUUAAGAGUAAAACAACGCUGUCGCCAUCGAAUCCGAAUGAUAUUAACCAAAUUGCAAAUGGAAAUUUAUACAAUAAAAAGUAACAUAAACAAUAUUGCAACGGAAAAGCAGCCACUUGAGCAGCAGUAUCAGGAAGAGGAGGAUUCUAUGAUGAUCCUAAUCGGAGCAAAUCUUCAUUCGAACAUAUCUUGGAUUUUACCUGCUCACGAUAUUGGGCUACAUCAAUCAAUUGAUGUGUGACCCAAAAGUCGCGUAAGAAAAUAAUCGAGAGGAUUAUGUUACGCUUUACGAUGCCUUCGAGAGCUUCUAAUCACGCUAUAUCUAUUGGAGAGCUCGACAUUGCUGGAAUCCACCGAUUUGCAGUGUCCCUGGGCGGAGGUAACUCUCAAGGAUCUCAUAAUCAAGGACUACGGUUGGACAUUCGAGUUCACUGGAACUGAAACACGAUGUCUGAACCUGAAGUACAACUACUUGGGAAAAGAAUCAUGCAUCGAUUAUACUUGGCAUUCGAUUGCCAGGAGCCACAACAAAAGUAUUCAGAAAACAAAAACAUGAAAGAUCUGGACAGUGUUCUGCGACAAUGUACAAUUAAUGGUGAGCCAAAAACAGGCAAACCAUGGAAAAAAAUGUUGAUUAUUGUCCAAGGUGUUUUAAGUAUGGAGGGUUUGAUUGUCCGAUUGCCUGAGGUAAUUACAUUAAUGAAGAAAUACAAAGCUUAUUGGUAUUUGGAUGCGGCGCAUAGUGUGGGAGCGAUGGGACCAAAUGGUCGCGGUAUUAUCGACCAUUCUAAUGGGCUUUGGCAGUGCUAGCGGUUAAAUUGAUAAAAUAAGUGAUUAAGUAGGCCUAAAUUAUUUACGUUUACCACGAGAUCUUAAUCUGAUUACUUAUUAAGUUAAAAGGAAUAAAUAAAUAAUAAUAAAUGAAGCAAUAAGUUUAUUUUAUGAUUCGUUAAAUAAGAAUGUC